UACGGAGGAUCCAAGCGUUAUCCGGAUUUAUUGGGUUUAAAGGGUGCGUAGGCGGCCUAUUAAGUUAGGGGUGAAAGACGGUAGCUUAACUAUCGCAGUGCCCUUGAUACUGAUGGGCUUGAAUGUACUUGAGGUAGGCGGAAUGUGACAAGUAGCGGUGAAAUGCAUAGAUAUGUCACAGAACACCAAUUGCGAAGGCAGCUUACUAAAGUAUGAUUGACGCUGAGGCACGAAAGCGUGGGGAUCAAACAGG
rnacentral:rRNA from 1 species